CCUGAGCAGCACUCACUGCAGCUCCCCACACCUGCUAUAACUCACACUCCCUGAGCAGCACACUCACUGCAGCUCCCACACCUCCUAUAACCCACACUUAUAACAGGCACUACAUGUUAAAACCCCUUCAGCCACUUACCUUUCUCCAGCGCCGGGCUCCCUCUGUGCUCGGGAGCUCUCCACCCCCUGCCGACAUCAGAUGCGAAUGUGCAUGCACGCGCAUUUAAAC